GGGGGUCACUCUGUGCCUGUGC
ensembl:ncRNA